AGCAGCUGCGGAUUGCGGCCGGGGCGCAGCGUUCUGCGAUGUCGCUGGCUAGCAUGACGCAAAAGCUGGUUGGACAUAGCACCGAUGGCACCCGUCGACAGAGUCCACUGAGGCACUUCGUCGGCGCACCGCGCCGAAGACCGAAUCCGACGACCGAGAAUUAUGGAGGCGUCACUUAAAAUUAUACAGUCGUUAACCAGGCCCCCUAUUUCAUGUCCCUUAGCGUGGCUUUUCGUCAGCUUACUGCGACGAGUGCAGCGGGGAGGGCGGAAAAGCGAGGACGUGUUAUCUCAUACGAGCCCCUGGCGAUGAGGAUCAUUUUCGGCGUCGCGGCUACUGCGCCGAGUUGCCGCCGAUAGUGCCGCAGCAUAUGCGUUGGAGGAAAUGCACGUAAUGAGAAAGAAACGGCACUGGUUGCGUGCGCACUCGUUGAUCUGAGUGUAGGGAGGCUGCACCUUAGGUCGUAGAGGAAGAGAGAAAUGAGUCAACCGAAGUCGUCAGUGAUGCUGGCGUGCCGCUGAACGUGUCUACCAUUCAUUGGCGGAGCGACAAGAGCAGUACGCACUUGCGGAGCCUAUCAUCGUUUGUGCUCGACGUCCACCUUCGGACGCCCUGUCAAAGACGUAUCCGAGUCCACCGAGGUCGAUAGUCCCUCGAAUGACGACCGUGAUCAUGGAUCCGAACAUUAGCCCAAUUUGGAAGACGUCCGUCCACACGACAGCCUUCAUGCCACCCUGAAAGAGUAUUGGUACGACCCUGUGAAGAAACUCAAGCGGAAACCAACCAGCACGGUGCACCGAAUUCGCUUGAUGAUGCGUUCACCAAGUGCCCACACCACGAUCGCCGCAGUGCUACUGGACCACAGCGUGAACACCUUCAUAUUCCAGAGACGCUUGUAACACUCUUUCCACCAGCAUACUAGCAAGAACUACAGAAAUUGGCUUCUACGACUAAGCAGGUGGAAAGCCAUAGGCUCUUGGAAAACAUUUGGUUUGUUUAGGCUGACGCGAACUGUACGGCAGCGAUUAUAGUGACAAUUGUAGAUAUUUACAAGGAACUGGACAGAACUCGCAGCUUCUGCAAAUACCGUACUGUGGUUGACUUGUAGCCUAUGUGCGCGCCUCCCCACCACUCAUUUAAUUUCGCCUCCCCUUUCCCCCAUUAAUCAACCUUGACCUUCCUGCAUUUUUGUAAAUAAAUUGUUUCUCUUCCUCU